rnacentral:rRNA from 1 species
AGAACGAACGCUGGCGGCAGGCUUAACACAUGCAAGUCGAACGCUCCGCAAGGGGAGUGGCAGACGGGUGAGUAACGCGUGGGAACGUACCCCUCGGUUCGGAAUAACUCAGGGAAACUUGAGCUAAUACCGGAUACGGCCGAGAGGCGAAAGAUUUAUCGCCGAGGGAUCGGCCCGCGUCCGAUUAGCUAGUUGGUGAGGUAACGGCUCACCAAGGCGACGAUCGGUAGCUGGUCUGAGAGGAUGAUCAGCCACAUUGGGACUGAGACACGGCCCAAACUCCUACGGGAGGCAGCAGUGGGGAAUAUUGGACAAUGGCGAAAGCCUGAUCCAGCCAUGCCGCGUGAGUGAUGAAGGCCUUAGGGUUGUAAAGCUCUUUUGUGCGGGAAGAUAAUGACGGUACGCAAGAAUAAGCCCCGGCUAAACGUUCGUGCCAGCAAGCCGC